rnacentral:rRNA from 1 species
CCUACGGGAGGCAGCAGUGGGGAAUAUUGCACAAUGGGCGCAAGCCUGAUGCAGCCAUGCCGCGUGUGUGAAGAAGGCCUUCGGGUUGUAAAGCACUUUCAGCGGGGAGGAAGGCGUUAAGGUUAAUAACCUUGGCGAUUGACGUUACCCGCAGAAGAAGCACCGGCUAACUCCGUGCCAGCAGCCGCGGUAAUACGGAGGGUGCAAGCGUUAAUCGGAAUUACUGGGCGUAAAGCGCACGCAGGCGGUCUGUCAAGUCGGAUGUGAAAUCCCCGGGCUCAACCUGGGAACUGCAUUCGAAACUGGCAGGCUAGAGUCUUGUAGAGGGGGGUAGAAUUCCAGGUGUAGCGGUGAAAUGCGUAGAGACCUGGAGGAAUACCGGUGGCGAAGGCGGCCCCCUGGACAAAGACUGACGCUCAGGUGCGAAAGCGUGGGGAGCAAACAGGAUUAGAUACCCCGGUAGUC